rnacentral:rRNA from 1 species
AUGGCUUCUCUUAUCCAUCCAUCGUAUGAUCAAUUGCAUCGUGGACGGUUCAUGGCAGAUGAAGGAAGGGUUUUUGAUCAGCUUCACCUGAGGUCCGGUUCGGUUCAUGACAAGAUGAAGUAUGACGAGCGAUACACGGAGUAUAUCCGGAAGACCGAGCUUCUCCCUUUCAUCUCACUCGUGUCUCGUUCGAUGCCGAAGAUGAACCCUUGUGCGAUCACGACACUCGUUGACCUAUGGCGCCCUAAGACGCAUACUUUUCACUUCUAUGCUGGGGAGAUGACUGUCACUUUGCAGGAUGUUACUCUGAUCACCGGACUUCCCAUCAAAGGAGAGCCUAUUUGUUUUAGCAUAGAUUCUGAUGGAUGGCGUGAGAUUAUGGUUGGACUCAUAGGGAGGGAGCCAGGGGUACAAGGGAAGUCCGCCGGUGCAAGUUAUCAUUGGAUUGCUGAACACUUUGGGGAAUGCCCGGCUGAUGCAGACGAUGAAACGGUGCAGCAGUAUACCAGGGCAUACUUGUGGUAUGUAGUCAGCCGGACUCUUUUCUCUGACGGCACUGGCGUGAACGCUUCCUUUAUGUGGCUUAAGCUGUUUGCUGGGUGGGAGCAUGGACUCGACUAG